rnacentral:rRNA from 1 species
GAUGAACGCUGGCGGCGUGCCUAAUACAUGCAAGUCGAGCGAACAGACGAGGAGCUUGCUCCUCUGACGUUAGCGGCGGACGGGUGAGUAACACGUGGAUAACCUACCUAUAAGACUGGGAUAACUUCGGGAAACCGGAGCUAAUACCGGAUAAUAUAUUGAACCGCAUGGUUCAAUAGUGAAAGACGGUUUUGCUGUCACUUAUAGAUGGAUCCGCGCCGCAUUAGCUAGUUGGUAAGGUAACGGCUUACCAAGGCAACGAUGCGUAGCCGACCUGAGAGGGGGAUCCGCCACACUGGAACUGAGACACGGUCCAGACUCCUACGGGAGGCAGCAGUAGGGAAUCUUCCGCAAUGGGCGAAAGCUUGACGGAGCAACGCCGCGUGAGUGAUGAAGGUCUUCGGAUCGUAAAACUCUGUUAUUAGGGAAGAACAAAUGUGUAAGUAACUAUGCACGUCUUGACGGUACCUAAUCAGAAAGCCACGGCUAACUACGUG